UUAAACCAUAGUGGAAAAGAGCCCUUCAUUGAAAAUGCAUUAAUUAUUUUACACUGGUUUUCCUCAGUCUUUUUUUUUGCUCUGGGAUGCAAGUGAAAGAUUACAGCUGAAAAAAUGAUCAUCAUACUUGAGGUUGGACUGGAACUGAGUUCAGAGAUGAAAGAGACUUCUUAGUGGGUGAGCAUCAAGACAUACAGACUGAGAACAUAGGAGGG